UACGUAGGGUGCGAGCGUUGUCCGGAAUUGUUGGGCGUAAAGGGCUCGUAGGCGGUCUGUCGCGUCGGGAGUGAAAACUCAGGGCUUAACCCUGAGCCUGCUUCCGAUACGGGCAGACUAGAGGUAUGCAGGGGAGAACGGAAUUCCUGGUGUAGCGGUGAAAUGCGCAGAUAUCAGGAAGAACACCGAUGGCGAAGGCAGUUCUCUGGGCCGUAACUGACGCUGAGGAGCGAAAGCGUGGGGAGCGAACAGG
rnacentral:rRNA from 1 species